AACUUCAUCAGCUGCAGUGAUAUCAUCUGCAUUAACAUCCACAACUCGAACAGCAACACCAGCAUCUACCUCUGAAGUCACAAUAACUCAACCAACCAAUCAGUCAACACCCUCAUCUUCAGAAGCUGCCCUGCAAAAUACGACAGCAGUUGCAUAUGUAACUUUCAAAAUAAGAUCCUUUGUAGAGCUGAGCGAUGACAAAAUCAUUACAUAUAUUGAAAAGUUCUUCGAUCACUUUCACACAAACAGUAGUGGGACCAUCAGGAUUACUGUGAAGAAAUCCAAAACAUUGUUGACCUAAGGAUCUGACAUGUAAAACUGCAAAAUUCUACAAAAAUCUAAGAAUGAAUAUGCCACUAU